GUUUUUGAAUGUCGGUAGUGACUUUCAGAAGUGAAAUAUCUGCAAUAGGGACUAUUGCAAAUAAAGAUAAAUUUAAUCUAAUAUAAAUAUAAAUCAGGAGACUGAUGUGGGGGAAUUGCUUGAACCCGGGAGGCGGAGGUUUCAGUGAGCUGAGAUUGCAUCACUGCACUCCAGGCUGGUGACAGGGCAAGACUCUUUCUCAAGAAAAAAAAAAAUUAAUUUAACAGGCUUGGUGAAUUCUAUAACUUUCCUACACCUUUGCAGGGGUGUCCCAUCUUUUGGCUUCCCUGGGCCAUAUUAGAAUAAGAAGAAUUGUUUUGGGCCACACACAAAAUAUAUUAACAAUAAAGACAGCUGUGGAGCUUUAAAAAAAUCGCAAAAAAAAAACCUCAUGUUUUAAGAAAGUUUAGGAAUUUGUGUUAGGCCAAAGCCGUCCUGGGCGGUGGGCUGGACCAGCACGACUUUAGGGUGUUCCUAACGCAGGAUGCAUAAAGUCAUGAAGCCACUAGAGGGAGACAAAAUUAGUUUAAAUGCAAAGUGCUCCGUUCUGAAAGCCCGUGCAACAGGAUUGUACCAGCAAAGGAAGCUGAUACAGAACAAAGAAGGAACACGGCAAGGCGUGGGUGAGAACACCAGCCAGCAAAGGGAGAGCUGUUGAUGUUUCUAAGUCGCGUCUCCAGGAGAGCUCUUUGGAGAAAUGAGGCAGCUGAUGAGUUUGGUUAGAGACCUGGAGUGAAUUAAAAUGCCAAGGAAAGCCUCCCUUCACUCUUACCCCACCCUGCUUCUUCUACCAUCAACCUUGCUGUCUGCUCUACAGCGGCUGAAUUUAACAAGCGGAGGAGCGAAAUCUCCGGAACUAAAAUUGUAUACUGGAGCGACAGGACCCGCACGAAUGAGUUUUAUUAGUUUGAGGCUGACUCCAUUUCUCCCCACCCACUUUGUUGGCAACAACCUAGAAAACAAUUAAAGUGUGAUUUGGCGGCCUGAGUUCGUCACACUGUUACUCAGGAAGCAAAGGUCAAUCCUGAAGCUGGGGAUUUGCCUCAGCUGAAAGAACUGAAACGGGACAGGGAUCUUCCAAACUGGAUACUUCCAUCAUUUUCUUCUGAUUUCCCAUCCUGAAUCCAGAAUCAUAAACAUUCUUGAAGGACUUACCACUCAGCUCUGAAAAUGAUUGCAAUUGAAAUAAACAUACAUUCCACAUGGAACAGACAUUCCACAAGUAAUACACAUGCUUAUAUUUAAUUCAAAAUAGAAUAGUGGACAUUCUGUAAUUGGGGAUAGUUUGAUCGAGGUAUAUGGUUUAUUGAUCCAAUGGAAGGGUCUGAAAUUUCACAAAAAACAAACCAUUAGUAAAGCGAAGUAUGUGGGACUGAAGAGAUCUGAAGUUGCCCUCUGGCAGCCUACAGGAAGUUAAAGCAAGUUACACAGUUUCUCCUUUAUAGUAGUCUCUAAAGUCCUUGCCUCCAUUGUGCAGAAACAAUGUAACCGAAAGUGCUUUUCAGAUCAUAAAGUGCAAACCAACAUCAGCUGGUAUUAUUAUAGUUAGUGGAUUUGAGAAAAAGACUUUCCAAUAAUGGGCAUUCGUUGUUGUAACACUCGUACAACCUCCCUUUUUUUAGCUAGUGGAGCUGGGAAUGUGAGUUGCUUUCACUGAAGUAUGGAUAAUGACGAAUGGGAGGGCAAGGAAAUAGCUACCGGAUAAUUGGGAACUCACUGAUUUGUUAAUGAAUGAAUGCUUGAAUGUAUCAGUGUGCAAAUGACUGAAUGAAUAAAGUGAAGAUGCAGGGAGAUUCCAGUUCAGUUCAAUCAACAUUUACUGAUGUAGCUGACCCAAGACAAGUGUCAGUGUAGGGGAAGGAAACCUGAGCAGACCUUUGGUCCCUUGGCCUCACCUGCA